rnacentral:lncRNA from 1 species
CUUUUCUCUCUGUAGCUAGCUAGCUAGAUAAAAAUAUAGAUAUAUAGAAUCAAUACAGAACCAAUAUGAUAUGGAUAUAGAUAUAGAUACAAAUAUAGAGAUGGAUGGAUGGAUAGAUAGAUAGAUAGAUAGAUAGAUAGAUGAGUCCACUAAUAAAUGUCUGCAACCCUUGGAAUAAUGUGGGGUAGAUAAAUUUCAAGACAUACAGAACAUGCUUUUUAGUGAGGUAGGAAGCCAGGUAGCAGGUAUGGUACAAAAAAGUAAGGCCAAUCAGAGACAUCUUGAUGCAAACCUGUCA